GCGUUAAGGACUUGAAGAUGGCUGAAUAGUGAUAUAUUUAUCACCCAUUAUCUUACUAAAAGAUUAAACAAAUGAGUAAAGACUAUCUCAUUAACAGUUCUUUGUUGUCUUGUUUACUGUUUAGUGGACUCAUUAACAUUAAUUAUUAGAAGAGGAACAUCAAUUAUUGCAGUAACCUUGUCAAGCCUAGCAAACCGACUGCUAAACAGCAAACGGAUCCAUGUUUAUCAGGCAGGAUUUGUGUGGACAGAAAGAAGAAGAAAAGACCCCUGAAAUCCGUGACGUUGCUGUAAACCGGCAGAAAUUCAGGCUCGCGUGUUAAUUCUGGCAUCAGCGGAGUAUCCUGCUCGAGACCACUAGCCAGAGAAUACAAGAAAAACCAACCCCAGGUGGAGACCUCCUCCCCUGCCCAAGCAGAGAUUCAAUGUUUCAUCAGUAUUUUAAACACACGCAUAUUUCAGCAGCUCCGGCAGGAGUUAAAUAUCAGCAGUAGCACAUCCAUUAUUUAAAAUACCGCGAGGAAGAAGGCUGAGUCACUAAGCUGGAUCAGUGACCUUCGACACUGUUUCUCAGCCUAAAUACAAGUGCCAGCCUGCGCCCAAGAACGAAACGAACCUUUCCAGAAGGGCCCCGAGCCAAAUCCAAGGGGACUUCAAGACACUUGGCUGAGUUGGAAGUUUUGAUGCCUCGCCAAUUGCCUUCAGGCUGCAAAUCUUAGAAGAUGAGAUUUUCCUAUGGCAUGUGACUUUUCUGGCUGAAACUCAGCUCAGAGGAGCAGACAGAACGGAGGUUAAAGUAACCCAUUAAAAAUCAUAAUAAACUCACUGUACAUUCUAAGUAAAAGUUGCAUGGAAUGAAAAUAAAGGGAAUUUUCUUAUUUGUAUUUCCUCCAUAUCCAUGAGAGCACCACUGUCCUUUGUUCUUAUAUGUACUGCUCUCAAGUCUGGAAGACCAAUAAAUGCAAACCCUUCUUCAGGCAGCAAUUACUUUCUCAGUCUUUAUAACUGAAGAGGGAGUCCUUCUCCCCAUCUCUCUGCUUUGAUAAAAUUAAAGACUAAUAUAUUAAUGGUAGUUCCUCCUUCUGCCCUCAGCCAAAUGCCACAGGUAUCCUCAGCUUCUGUCCACUACACCUUUAACAGCCAAGUCAUAGUCUGGGUAUAGGGAGAGCUGAUGUAACAUGAUGGCCAGGUUAACAGGUCUAAUAAAGCUGUAGGAAUUUGAGAUUUUCUU